CUUGGAGGAGCGUGCAAUGUGCGUGCAUGUGGGCGCUAGCUCUUUGCCCGCGUUGUGUCAUGUCAUCAUCUCCCUCUCAUGUGAGUGAGUGAGUGAGAGAUAAUACUAGCUAGGGUUUGUGUGUGUGUGCAUGAGAGGGAUUAGCUAGCUAGGGCACUCUGAGUCUGCGGAGGAGGAGGAGCUGCCGCGGCUCCCAUCUAUUUAUAGGGGGCUGCGUACAGCGUACAAUCAAGCUAGCAACACCUACCACUACCAUGCUCCCUCCGGUCUUCUUCCUCCUCCCUCCAUCCACACGCUCGCCAACACCUACCAUUACCAAGCUAGCUCUCUCUCUCUCCUCUCCAUGAGUAGGGCCAUCCAUCCACACGCACAAUGUAGAGUGUCCUGAGGUCAGCAUUGAGAGGGGGGCCUCGUUUGUGAGUGCGGAGAACGAUGGAUGACUCACGCCGUGCAAUGCAGAUUCUGGAUGGGGAGGUAGGUGAAGGCUCGGCAGGAAGGAAGAGGUGAAAACAAUGGGAUAUGCCUGGCUCCCUGUAUGCCACUCGCGUAGCUGCCAACUCCCCAAACCUUGCGUUGGCUCUACCGCGGAUGGCGUGCGAGGAGCCAAGCAUGACCGUCUCUCUCUCUCUCUCUCUCUCUCUCUCUCUCUCUCUCUCUCUCUCUCUCUCUCUCUCUCUCUCUGUUUGUUGCUUUAGAUUCUUAUACAAACUAACCGCAUCAUGCAUGUGAUGGUAUGUGCAAGCAGCUAGCGAUGAUGGUAGGGAGUACUCCAAGAUCUACACAGUACUUUUGUACGUACGUUUGGCAUAAUCUGUGUCCUUGUGAAUGCAUGUUUGUACGGCGCUGCAGGACGGCAGAUAUGUAUGUACAAGUAUCAUUCAAGCACUUGCAUGGCUCCAUCUCAUUAAUCAUCCAGAUCCCAGAGGGGAUCUACACAUACUUUUCAUGGUGCUGGUCGAUACCUGACCCGGCUGGCGUACAGGCUCCAAUGUCAAUGCAUCUGCGCAUCUAUAUAUCAGCAGAAAAGCUAGAUGUAUAUAUAUAUAGCUCGCUCGUCAGACCAUAUGCAUGCAUUGAUCUUACUUAGUCGUUUGCUCCUGAUCCAGAUGGUCAAAAUCAUGUACACAUUGAGAUUUCACCUUUCUUGUAAGAACAUGUUCUAUA